CAUUAGGGUGGCCCUCGUCCAGUCUGACUGGUGUCCUUCUAAGAGGAAAUUUGGUCACACAGAGACACCAGAGACGCACGAGCCCGGGGGGAAGACUCCGCACACAAGGACCGAGGCUUCCGAAGAAACCAACCCUGCAGACACCUUGAUCUUGGACUUCCAGCCUUCAGACGUGGGACAAAAUAAGUUUCUGCUGCCUAAGGGGGCAGCCCGUGCAGACACCAGGCAUCUGUGAUUCUCUUGGACCCUCACCUGGUGGCCGCCCCCAGGUCUGCUUGCUCUGCUUUGGCACUUCUCUAGUUCCUGGAGGUACUGGGUAUUCUCUGCCCAGUUCUGGAUCUCCUCUCACCCUGUCGACCUUGUUCUGUGCUCCAGGGGCCGGCUGUCCCAGAGACUGUCAAGGUGCACCGUGGGAGGCACGCUGGAGAUCACAGGUAAGUGGAGGAGCAAGUGGGGUGUGUGUGUUUCCCCAGUUCCCUCCAUGCAGUUGCUGGAGUUGUCCAGGUUCCUCUACAAAGGCCAC
rnacentral:lncRNA from 12 species